rnacentral:misc_RNA from 1 species
UUUCCGUAGGUGAACCUGCGGAAGGAUCAUUAUUGUAUACCCGCCGAGCAGGCGCUGUUGCUGUCCCGAAAGGUCGUGCACGCCCGAGUGCCCUCACACACAUCCAUCUCACCCCUAUGUGGACCACCGCGUGGGUCCACCUUUGGCUUGUUCGGAUUGGGGUUUACGUUUUCACACAAACUUUGUAUGGAGUGUAGAAUGUAUUUUUUGUUUUUGCGAUCACGCAAUCAAUACAACUUUCAACAACGGAUCUCUUGGCUCUC